UUCAGUCGAUUCUUGAAACCAUUACCUUUUCUGAAGCAAGACUAGCUAGCACCCAAGGUGCCCUGGCAGGUGUAGGUUUAUCCAUUGGCUACCCGUUGGAGCAUCACUUGCGGUGCUCUUUGUAAUGUCACUUGGUGGGUUUUGUAGAAGUGACUGUCUAGAGACGUUUUAUCUUGAUAAUUGACAACAUAAGAGUGCAAAAUAUUUGACAGCAGAUCGCUUAUGGGGUCAUCAAGGAAACUCAAUAGAUGGCUAUUUCAGUGGAGAUUAUUCCAGAGAUGUUGUUUUGAAAGUAUAUGCCAGGAGAGAAAGAUAUACUUGAAACCCGAUGAGGUCAAUGAUGUGGAGAUUUUACCAGAGAUGUUGUUUUCAAGUAAGAUUUUGUGUGGGAUUAUACCG